UCAGGCCUAACACAUGCAAGUCGAACUAACUCUAGCGCAAGUUAGAGUAGGUGGCGGACGGGUGAGGAACACGUAAGAACCUACCCCUAGGAGGGGGAUAACUGCUGGAAUCGGCAGCUAAUACUCCAUAUGCUGAGGAGCGAAAGGUCGAAAGACCGCCAAGGGAUGGGCUUGCGUCUGAUUAGCUAGUUGGUGGGGUAAAUGCUUACCAAGGCGACGAUCAGUAGCUGGUCUGAGAGGAUGAUCAGCCACACUGGGAGUGAGACACGGCCCAGACUCCUACGGGAGGCAGCAGUGAGGAAUUUUCCACGAUGGGCGAAAGCCUGACGGAGCAAUGCCGCGUAAUUAAAGAGGGCCUGCGGGUUGUAAACUUCUUUCUCAGAGACGAAGAUC
rnacentral:rRNA from 1 species